AUUGAACGCUGGCGGAAUGCUUUACACAUGCAAGUCGAGCGGCAGCGCGGGGCAACCUGGCGGCGAGCGGCGAACGGGUGAGUAAUGCAUCGGAACAUGUCCAUGUCGUGGGGGAUAGCCGGCGAAAGACCGGAUUAAUACCGCAUACGCCCGAGAGGGGAAAGCCGGGACCGCAAGGCCUGGCGCGAUUGGGUUGGCCGAUGUCCGAUUAGCUAGUUGGCGGGGUAA
rnacentral:rRNA from 1 species